GGGGUACAGUACACACAUUCAAGCUGACACAGGAGGAAUUCAAGGCCAGCUUGCAUAAUAAGACCCUACCGAAAAAUGCAGCCAACCAACUUGUGAAGAAAAGGAUCUUACUGACGUCCAAGCAGCCCAGACUGUCCUGAAACUCAAAGCAGCUCCUGGUUCCAUCACCCCUGAAUAUGGCAAAGUCACCAUCAACACGUGCGAUAUGCAUGAAGGAACUGCCAAAAGCACAACAAGCAUGUCCAAAGGUUGAGCUGCUCAGACGACAGUCUCUGAAAUGAGGAUCUAAAAAGAGACCCUAAGAUAUUAUGGGCUGGCAAAACCAGUUUUGGAUGCCCCGCCCCUUUUCGGUACUUGAGGUUGAAUCCAAAGUCUUUGUGCACGCUAGACAG